rnacentral:rRNA from 1 species
UGAGUAACGCGUGGGUAACCUGCCUCAUACAGGGGGAUAACAGUUAGAAAUGGCUGCUAAUACCGCAUAAGCGCACAGUGCUGCAUGGCACAGUGUGAAAAACUCCGGUGGUAUGAGAUGGACCCGCGUCUGAUUAGCUAGUUGGUGGGGUAACGGCCUACCAAGGCGACGAUCAGUAGCCGGCCUGAGAGGGUGAACGGCCACAUUGGGACUGAGACACGGCCCAAACUCCUACGGGAGGCAGCAUG